AGUGAGCUUUCUAAGAUAACCUUUGAAUCCAUUGACACUUGAGUUACAACGAAAAAUGUUUUAAUAAAUUUAAAUAUGACUAACACACAUGACUCACUCAGGCCACAUCAUUUGUUUGGCACAGAUACUGACAGUGAAGUGAAAGUGCAUGUUUAAGAAGAGAGUUAUGUCUAAUAGAGGCUUUCAUUGCAUGCCACAAAAAAUCAAAAUAAAAGUGUUUUUGAUUGUAUAAAAUUAAAUACUGUACAUGUCUGUGUUGUAUAAUGAGUCUAUUCAGUAUUAUUUUUGUCAGUACUAUUAUUCAGUUUUGAAGACAAAUGUGAGUGAGCUGACCAAAGCGUUCUCUCUGGGUUAUUAAAUGACAUGUUAGCAGAUUUAGACAGAGACCCCUGCUGCUGAAGACUUGACACAAACAAAUUAUGCCCAUCUGCCACACACAACAAAAACAACUUUAAGUAAUUUAUUCUUCUAGGGAUGAAUCAUCACUGUUUGGUCAAUUUUACUAUAAGUGAUCAAAAUUCAGACAGCUGGGAAAGAUGAUUAUGAUAUUCUCGACAUAAGUGCUCAGCCUGCUGACCAUGACAUAAUACAGAGCGCUCCAGAGAUCACGAACAAUGCGUCAACAGUUUGAAUCUCACGCAUGAAACUGACACACUCCGAAUCAGUGAUAUCAAGGCCUGGAAUAGCAGUGCUAACUUUCAUGUGCGUCAUUCACUGAUUGAGGUGUUAACUAUGUGAUGUUACAAUAGUGAUGCUUGGCAGUACUCAAAGAAGUUGCAAACUUGCAAACAUCUCCUCGAACAGGUGAUUUUGAAGUCUGUGAGUGCUUGAGAAAGCGUGUGUCUGUGUGACUGAGAUUCAAAAUAUGAAAGUUGCUGGUGUGUUAGGCAGCCAUGAAAUUAGUUAUGCUAACUAAAAUUAAAUCUAUUUAAAAUCAAUUAAAAUAAUAUGAAUAUUAGAUGAAAAACUUAAAAUUACUAAAACAUAAAUUGAAAAUAUUAAAAUAAAAAGCUAAUUCAAAAUAAAUAGAUAUUAUAAUAGUAUAUAAAUAAUACUAAUAUAACACUGCUUGAAAUAUUUCAAAAGCUAAGGAUUGUGGUAUUGGUAUGCUCUAUAUGGAUGAGUCACUGACUGUACAGUGUGCGACAGAACCAUAUAGCAUGUUAAGUGUAUCACAUAUUGUACACUGAUGACACUAUGCAUGGUUGCUCACAUACAAAAAGUCAAUAACAAUCCAUCCAUACACACAUUCACACAUUACACAUACAGAAUAGUGGCAUAAAUCUGACAAACCGAUUACAGUAAGAGGUGAAAACUGAAAAUAAAAUAAAAUAAAAUUUUGCUUUCACAAAAAAACAUUUUGAUACUAUUUGAGCCAUGGACCACUACUAAACAGCAUCAUGUUAUUAUGAUGGUUUUCUUGAUAUAUCUGGAAGUAUCUUUGAAGUAAAUGCUAUUGUUUAUGUAUAAAAUAAUAAUUCAGUACCAUAAUAUAUAUCUAAGUACCAUCACUGUCACAAUAUGUUCGAACAUAUCAGAAUACACUUCAAUUAAAAGUAAUGAAGUGCACUAAUCAAACACCUUCUAUUAGCACCUCUGAGGAUAGAUACAUCAGGUUCAAACAUGUUCAGCUGCGACCUAUCCCAGGAGUUUUUCUCUUAUUCAUAUAUUCAUCCAAACAUCUGAUGAGAUUUUUCUUCCCCAAAGAAAAUGAGAGAGGGGGAACAGAUGGUCCAAGGCCUCUGGCUUUCACACCCAGCCCUUAAACCAAACAGAUUGGUAUGACAACAGCCAGCACCCAGCAGCAGCCAUGGGUACGGCAAGUGUAAGGAGUUCUGCCUCGAAAGCGAUUGGGUAACAAGAGGGCAGCAGGAUCUCACACUGGCUGUCUCUUCAAAGAUCUUCAGAGGGCUGUGAGCUAAUUGGCUGGCGUGAGUUAAAAGCGAGCGAGUAGGAACACAGUGUCCUGACCUUAGUUUCUGGAAGCCACCAGCAUAAGAACUCACUGUGCUCUGCAGCCAAAAGGCUGGUCACAUGCACAUACUGAGACACAUUUUAUUCAAGCCGACUCUUGAGGCUCAGCUCUUUAUUUUCUUACUGUGCAUUUAUGUAUCUAUUCAACAUCCUUUAUUUGUGUCCUCGAUUAUUUUAGACACAUUUGUAAACAGUUUAUAGUAGCUCAAAUUUGUCCUAUAUUUCAGUGCAUUCUGUUUUAAAAUAAAGGACACAUUUGGGACAAGUUGGGAAACCUGGAAGAAACUGUCUCAUCAGAAAUGGGACAUCUGGACGCCGUAACUCAAACUCAACCAUCAAUGUUGAUGAUAAGCCACGACAUUUCAUUUCAAUGUUAUCUUGAAAAUGAUUGACAAUCUAGAUGGGCAGGAGAGAGAUUUUGUGUAAGGUCACAGGCAUGUGAAGAACAGGACCUUUGGCAAUUCUUGGAAUGUAAUCGCUAGAUACACAGAUAAGAGUAAGACACAUUCCUUCAGAAAGGCAUUGCUUACUUAGAAGUCCAUUUGUACCUGAAUAUUACAUAAUGCUACAUUCUGAUUUUUCUUUGUUGCAUAACAAACACUGGCUACACUGGGAAAUGUGGUCAUCGCCACUCUAAUAAUUGAUGUUAUGGCCCUUGGACUGUGUUGUUGUAAAAUACUGAAAAUAUGGCAGUUUUCCCAUCAUUAAAAGCUACAUAACUGUUUUAAAUGGAUUCUCACUCUUUUCGAUUAUUCGCUGUCAACACACACACACACACAAUACAAAUUUUAUAGUACUAUUUAACAUCUAACAGUGCACUAAUAUUGGGUAAAAAGAUUAAUAAAAAGAAAAUAUUUAAGAUAUUUCAAUCAUUUCUUUUUACUCAUACAUAAAAAUGUAAAGCUGUCAUAAUUUAAAAGGGGGGUCGUUGAUAAAUAGCUAUGUGCUAUAUUCACUACAUGCAUGUAUGAAAUCUAGCUCAGUAUUGAGAGUGUUUUAGUAUAAAUAUGUAGCCCAGCACAGAAAAACAGACAUAGACAUCCUAACACUUUGCCUUUCUGGACUAAAUAUGGCCCAAAAGUGUAAGAACGAUCUAACGUAGGCUAUACUGCACAAUGAGGUGGUAACAUGCACAUGCCUCUAAGUUAUGUAGCCUGAACUACAUAACAGAUGACUCAAUAUAAUCCGUUUUAAUUUACACUCUAAUUAACAGUUCUUAAAUGGUUUUCUAACUUCUCAAUGAAUAAUGCGCCGCCUCCUCAGCGCGACGCAACAGCUGCGCAGGUAGAUGGCGUAAGUCGCUCAAUGCAAAGCCAGGGGCUUAAAACGCAUCUAAACAAUGUGUGGCGUUACGUAACAGUCCUCGCUACGAACAUUUACAUUAUUUAUAUAUUAUAGGCAGUGACGCGAAAAAAGUAAAGCUUCCUUAUGAAACAGCAUUAUGAAUUUGAAAACACGCUGAAGUAAAAGCUGACAUUUCAGGACGCGAGAAGGCUGGUCACUUGGCAAGAAGAAAAUACUCAAUUUAUUUCAUUUGCCUUCAUAUGAGCGAAGAUGGCAUGCAACUGUUGCUUAUUAUUCAGAUUUCCAAUAGUUGGGCUCCUUCACCCAAGGGACUGGACGUUGAGUUGUUGCCAUACUAUAAACUGCAUCUGAAACUGUCUGUUAAGGACAACUUCAUCUUCCGAGGCUCACGGCUGAUUGCACCUGCGGCUCUUCAAUCUGUACUGGUCUCCAUAGUGCACAAAGGACAUCAAGGAGAGGUUCACCGUAGUCAACCGGAUCCGGGCCGUAUCCAGGUGAGACCAAGGACCUGCACCUUGACACGACCACAACGCAGCCCUGACGGAUCAGCAGAGAUUGAGUCAACUAGAUCAUCCACUGUAAGGGCCUCAUCGACACGACAGCCACGACACAGUUCCUCAACAACCGUCCAUACCGGCGUGAUCCUCAAUAGGAUGGAACUGAAAUAAAUACUUUUAAUGUUGCGAUCCUAUUGGACUUAUGAUAGCAACCUGAAUUGUAACAAAGCACUGUUGGCCAGAGGAGAACUGGCACCCCGACUAAGCCUGGUUUCUCCCAAGGUUUUUUUCUCCAUUUUAACACCAAUUUGCCACUUGUCUGCCACCUAAUGUCACCUGAUGGAGUUUGGGUUCCUUGCCGCUGUCGCCUCUGGCUUGCUUAGUUGGGGACACUUGACUUGACAUUUGAUAUUCAACAGUGCUUUGAUCUGCCUGCAUUGACACUAUUCUUUAAGAGCUGCUGUGCAGCCAAACAAUGUACCAGUUAUCAAUGUAAAGCUGCUUUGACACAAUCUACAUUGUAAAAAGUGCUAUAUAAAUAAAGGUGACUUGACUUGACAGUAAAUCUGUACUGCUAUA